rnacentral:rRNA from 1 species
CUACUCGGGUAUCUAAUUCUGUUCGCUACCUACGCUUUCGUCCAUCAGCGUCAAUAUAGUAUUAGUGAUCUGCCUUCGCAAUCGGUAUUCUGUGUAGUAUCUAUGCAUUUCACCGCUACACUACACAUUCUAACCACUUCAUACUAAUUCAAGAACUACAGUAUCAGUGGCCGUUCUACAGUUAAGCUGCAGACUUUCACCACCGACUUAUAAUCCCGCCUACGGACCCUUUAAACCCAAUGACUCCGGAUAACGCUUGGAGCCUCCGUAUUACGGCGGCUGCUGGCAC